rnacentral:sRNA from 1 species
UGCAUCUGCGGCCCGAAGAGGAUGAGAACCUCCGGGGGCAGAGGUUCGACUCGAGCGUAGCGAGAGAACGUUGCGUCAGCAAC